GCAACGACCUCACCAUCACCCGAGCACGAAAUUCCAAGUGAUCCACAGCAACAUCUAAUGGCUUGAUCUGUCCAAACAGGAGGCGGACAUCAUUCAACCGACAAGAGAUAACCUAAUUCAAGAGGUAAUAUACCCACACUCCAAAGCCAACAAAAAUAAGAGUAAUGACAUGGUACCUACUUGAAGCACACAAUCUCAAAUAUAAUCAAUAUUGACCCAUUAUCAAAUAUAUCUGAUAAACCGUAAUCUGAUUGAAUGAUCAAACUUUUAAAAUUCAUCACGUAUAUAUACAUAUCUAAACUCAAUUGAACCCAACAACUAUCCAUAGGCAUAUAAAUCUAUCUCAUCUCAUACCCGUAAGUCCAACUAACAAAAGAUUGCCAACAUAGCACUCUCGUCCUACUUGCCCACUAACUAAAAAACCUAAAAAACAUUUAAAACAAAUGCUAUGGGCAACAUUAUACAUAAUGUAUCUAAUCCUUUUCAUUUUUUCAAAAUAUGAAAUUAAAAAUUCAAUGAGUAGAUAGCAUUACUUACUUAGGAAUGUCCAAUACCAAACAACAUAACUAUUCGAGCCAACAAUCUAACAAUCUUGUCAAUUAAAUGAGAAUUGUAAAACACUAUUUUAGCUAUUGAAUUGACUAAACUAUGCUUAUUCAUCUAUUAAUUGACUCCUACGCAAUAACGAAAGGCUCACUGCAGCAUGUGUUCACUAUUGUCCCUUACGAGCUGCUUGUGCAUCAAACUUAUUCAUGUCACAACUCUCUCCAUGGAACUUCAACUCUAGCAAAUCUACUAUCAAACAAAAGCACUUUCGAGAUACUUAGAUAUCUUAAGCUUGACUCCCAAGACAGUGAAAGACAAGCCAAAAUCGUCACUAAAAUAGGAACUUUGCUAUUGUUCCAACAUGUACGCCUAGCUUUUAAAUUUGUUUCAAACAAAUCGUAAGUCUAAAUCAAGUUUUGUAAAAUCUCAGGGCUGCACACACCUUAAAAUAUCAAUCCUCCAUAAUUUCUCAUCUUAACUCCUAGAUUUAACUCACCAGCUCAACAAGGAUCCAAAAUUAGGACUCGGUGUUGAAAAUCUCUCUAAUUAGAUGAACAAAGGGUGAAAUCCUUAUGGACACCGCAAAUGAAGUUAAUCCAGCUUGAAGAGAUCUUCCAACGUGUGAUGAAAAACCCUUUUUUCCUUCUUGCUCUCUUUUAUAUUCUUUCGUCUUUUCCCUUAGUAGGUGCACCUAUCUUUUGUAACUCUUCUUUUUCUUUGUCUUUUUCAAUUCUUUUUAAAACCCCACCUCUUUUAACUAUCAAUUCAUUUCGCUAAAAAUAUGGCGUUUUGAGCAAAUAUUUUUCAGAAAAAUAUAAUUAUUUUUAGAUAUUUGACUAAAACCUAAAAAUAAAGUGAAAUUUUUUUUACUGUUCAGUAAGUAAAAUCUUUUGUACAUGCACUUUUUUAAAUAAUUUUUUUAUAUUUUAUAUUUUAAAAUCGAUUUUUUAGUUAUUUUUAAUUUUUAAAAAUCAAUUUAAUUUUCUUUUCCUUUUUCUUUUCUUUCCUUUUAUCUUUUUCUUCUUUGGCCAAUCACCAGCCACGACAACAAACAUCAACUUGUCUAAGGCAAGCUCGAGCUUGCUGCUUGCCGACCUUAGGCCUCGCCAAAUCAGCCACUAGUUCACCUAUUUGGCGAGCGACAAGCUUGAUCUCACUGACCUCAGGCCUCGCCAGAUUGGCGAGCCAGAGGCUCAUGUCACCACUAAUUCGCCGAUCUAGUGAGCGGCGAGCUUAAGGUCGGUGAGCCUUGAGCUCGCCUAUGGCCGGUCGCUGGCCAUAGCUAUGGCU
rnacentral:lncRNA from 1 species